rnacentral:rRNA from 1 species
GACGAACGCUGGCGGCGUGCCUAAUACAUGCAAGUAGAACGCACAGUUUAUACCGUAGCUUGCUACACCAUAAACUGUGAGUUGCGAACGGGUGAGUAACGCGUAGGUAACCUGCCUGGUAGCGGGGGAUAACUAUUGGAAACGAUAGCUAAUACCGCAUAAUAUUGAUUAUUGCAUGAUAAUUGAUUGAAAGAUGCUAUUGCAUCACUACCAGAUGGACCUGCGUUGUAUUAGCUAGUAGGUGAGGUAACGGCUCACCUAGGCGACGAUACAUAGCCGACCUGAGAGGGUGAUCGGCCACACUGGGACUGAGACACGGCCCAGACUCCUACGGGAGGCAGCAGUAGGGAAUCUUCGGCAAUGGACGAAAGUCUGACCGAGCAACGCCGCGUGAGUGAAGAAGGGUUUCGGACCGUAAAGCUCUGUUGUAAGAGAAGAACGGGUGUGAGAGUGGAAAGUUCACACUGUGACGGUAUCUUACCAGAAAGGGACGGCUAACUACGUG